UGAACUUACCGAAAUAAUAUGUGUGUGUUUUAAAACUCGUUGUUUGAUUUAAAUCCUUGGCUCGUGCAUGGUGGAUUGAGUUUGUCUGACGGCACAGGCGCUUCCUGAUUCUGAUACCUGUUGUGCUCGUAGAAGGGCGUGUGCGCGCGCAAGCUACCUGUCCAAACUUGCUUUCAGGAUCUGGAAAAAAAUGCGAGUGCAUUAUUCAAAAAACAGUUUAAGAUAAACUAAAAUCUUAAGCGAAGAGAUUAUGAUAGCUCUAAAAGACUUAACUUUAAAAUUACGCACAAAUCAGGAAAUAAUAGAUUAACAAUUUGUUCAGUUUUUCAGACACAAAAUCCAGUCGAUUUAACGUCUGUGAUAGUUCACGUUUACAAGAUAAACUAACAUGAUUUUUGUUUUCCUCUGUCAAGAUUGAAUCAGCCCUGCAUGAGGACAACACGUAAUAUUCAUGAGCAAAGAGGCCCUCUAUUGGAAGGUUAUCGAGAGAACGUCAUCACAACUAAUUAAUAUGCAUGAGGCAUUCCUUCAUUGUGACAACAGCAUUCCAAUUAUUUCAAAACAGCCCGGAGGCACACAGCACUUUAAUAAGGCAAAAGUCACCAAACACGAAACAGAUAUAAUCCAUCCAACAGGUAUCACAAGAGACAACACCUUCAUAAUAUUUCUUGUUAUGUUUUCCCAUUUCUGAUUUCAUACAUCGCCAUUUACAUAGCAUUAAAACUAUGUGACUACGGGAAAUUAAUUAUUGAAAUGCAUUUCUUUUAAAUAGUGUGUAGAAUGUCAUCUAUGAUUGAUCAUCAAAGCAUUCAAACAGAAAACCGUCCCAUUAAUGGGCUAAUGUCUCAAAAAUGAGCCCUGUGGUUACAGAUUUUGAGGAGCCUUUAAAUGACAGUUUCUCACACAUUAAAAUCUUUUCUACAAGCAAAACACUCAGCGCCAUUAUGUCAUUUUCCAAAAGGAAGACAUGUUUCUGAAAGGCAUAAAUAAUUAAUUCACAAUCUGUUUUGCACCAUAGACAAAACUGCAUUCAGUAGCCAGCACUCAAUCAAUCAGCAGAAACCUGUGGGAAUGAGAAAUACGACUUCAGGCAGUGGAUGUUGUGAUGCAGAUUUUCUGGCCUGAUUGAAAACAGAGACAAAUUGC
ensembl:lncRNA